UACAGGGGGGGCAAGCGUUGUUCGGAAUUACUGGGCGUAAAGCGUGCGCAGGCGGCUAUGCAAGACAGAUGUGAAAUCCCCGGGCUCAACCUGGGAACUGCAUUUGUGACUGCAUGGCUAGAGUACGGUAGAGGGGGAUGGAAUUCCGCGUGUAGCAGUGAAAUGCGUAGAUAUGCGGAGGAACACCGAUGGCGAAGGCAAUCCCCUGGACCUGUACUGACGCUCAUGCACGAAAGCGUGGGGAGCAAACAGG
rnacentral:rRNA from 1 species